AUAUCAAUAAGCGGAGGAAAAGAAACUAACAAGGAUUCCCCUAGUAACUGCGAGUGAAGCGGGAAGAGCUCAAAUUUAAAAUCUGGCGGUCUCUGGCCGUCCGAGUUGUAAUCUAGAGAAGUGCUGCCCGCGCUGGACCGUGUACAAGUCUCCUGGAAUGGAGCGUCAUAGAGGGUGAGAAUCCCGUCUCUGACACGGACUACCAGGGCUUUGUGGUACGCUCUCAAAGAGUCGAGUUGUUUGGGAAUGCAGCUCAAAAUGGGUGGUAAAUUCCAUCUAAAGCUAAAUAUUGGCGAGAGACCGAUAGCGAACAAGUACCGUGAGGGAAAGAUGAAAAGAACUUUGGAAAGAGAGUUAAACAGUACGUGAAAUUGCUGAAAGGGAAACGCUUGAAGUCAGUCGCGUUGGCCGGGGAUCAGCCUCGCUUUUGCGUGGUGUAUUUUCUGGUUGACGGGUCAGCAUCAAUUUUGACCGCUGGAAAAAGGCUUGGGGAAUGUGGCAGCUUCGGCUGUGUUAUAGCCCCUUGUCACAUACAGCGGUUGGGAUUGAGGAACUCAGCACGCCGCAAGGCCGGGUUUCGACCACGUUCGUGCUUAGGAUGCUGGCAUAAUGGCUUUAAGCGACCCGUCUUGAAACACGGACCAAGGAGUCUAACAUGCCUGCGAGUGUUUGGGUGGAAAACCCGAGCGCGUAAUGAAAGUGAAAGUUGAGAUCCCUGUCGUGGGGAGCAUCGACGCCCGGACCAGAACUUUUGGGACGGAUCCGCGGUAGAGCAUGUAUGUUGGGACCCGAAAGAUGGUGAACUAUGCCUGAAUAGGGUGAAGCCAGAGGAAACUCUGGUGGAGGCUCGUAGCGAUUCUGACGUGCAAAUCGAUCGUCAAAUUUGGGUAUA
rnacentral:rRNA from 1 species